CAGUAUCCAAAGAAAAUUAUUAUUAUGAUAAUGAUCCUGUGUGUUCAAAGCAAAAUAUGUAAUUGCAAAUCGUGAUAACACUUUUCAUCCAGUAAGAAUGGUUUCCACAAGGGGCCAUGCAGUGGUCUGUAUUUUCAGAAAAGUUGAAAAUGCUUGGUGGAGUCUAAAGUUCAGCCUUACAAACUGUAUGGCUGCUAUAAUUGGAAACUAACAUUAUUAUCAAAAGCCUUAUAUAAUAUACCAAAAAUCUAUCCGUGUAUGGAAUUAGGCCAAGUAGAGAUUGUCCUUAGGAACUUGCAUUCUAGGUAACUUCAGACGGAGACAUAAAGGUACACAGACAGCAAAAAACUUUGCCUAAAUAUAUUUAACUAGAAUAAUUACAUAAUGAGAUGGUUUAAUGAGUCCCUCUUGGACGGUGAAAGGUAAAUAUUCUGUCCUAGGGUAUUGUAUUGGGCCGAAUUGUUAAUAUGCCUGUCUUUCUAUACCAGACUGACCUCAUAAGGGCAACUGAAAUAAGUACCUAACUAAAUGUGAGAACUUGUGGUUUUUUGUUUAUUCUGCUUCUCUUGAAGAUCACACGGGGCUCCUGAUAGUCUGGAGCCUACCGCUCUGUCUCUCCCCUUUUGACUUGCUCAGGCACAACGUGUUAGGAACGCAUAAUUUCCAGAUCAAUUUCUGUGAACAGAUGGGCGGAGACAUGGCUAAAAUACGAAUGAAGUACGCUGGGGCAAGGAGAAAUGUGUCACUUCUUUUCCACAAAACGGACAGGAUUCAGUAUUUAUUUGCAUAAGGAAAGGAAAGGGGUGUGAUAAACAUGGGGGGACACAGGCCUGAUGAGUAAUGAAGACCAGGCAGCAAAGAACAUCGUUGUUUUGGACACAUUCAAGGUGCUGAUCGGGGCCAAAGAACAUCUAACUGCGUAUGGUAAAGAAAAGCAGAAGAUGUCUGGGGUAGGAAGUAAUUAAAUGCACCAUCUGCUGAGGUCUCUAGUAGACUUUAAAAUGACUUCAGGAUAUGUGUUUUAACCAUCUUAGGCUUAAAUGGUAAAAACAGCUUUCUUUACCAGGCCCUAUUCACAUUUUUUCUAUUUCUGGCUAUUUUUAGGUUUUUAAAGUAUUCAUAUAUUGUGAUAUUGUUUCUUUGUUGGAGCCUUGAGGGGGAUAGUUUUCAUAUAAUUCUUCAUGACAUAGUGAUGACAGCCAUAGUAAAGUUUUUCCUGAAAGUUUUGUAAGCUCUGUAACAGGAAGCCAUGUAUUGUAAAUCUAUCACUUCCUGAGAAGUCAUUCCAGAGAAAACAGUAUUUUUCAGCUGAAUGAACUUUACUUUCACAUUUGUUAUACUUUCUGUACACUCUUGGCUUAAAACGUUCUUUUGGGUUAGUACGUUAUGAGAUUUCCAUUACACGAUUACUUUUGAUUUAACCACCCAUAUUCUUGGUGCAAAUAGGUAAUUGUGAAAUUGAUUCUAUUGAUUCUAUGUUUUCACAUAAGUAUAUUCAGUUUCAAAAAAUAAAAAUGGUUUCCAAAAGAUCCACAAUCCAAAAAUAGUCAAAGGAUAUGAAAAAACUGUUUAAACCAAAUGGUCAAAACACAAAGAUUUAUAAACCUGCGAGACUCAAUUUUACUCAUAAGAAGAGUGCAGCUGGAGUUCCUUGGUGGCCCAGCAGUCAAGGAUCUGGUGUUGUCACUGCUGAGGCUCAUUGUCACUGCUGUGGUUCAGGUUCUAUCCCUGGCCUGGGAACUUCCAUAUGCUGCAAGUACAGCCAAAAAAAUUAAAAUUCAGCUAUAAUAUGAGGUACCAUUUCUUUCAUCCAUCACAUUGGCAAGGAUGAAACAGAUAAAACAUAAUUUUUGUGGAUAUAAGGAAAUAGCUUAUAUAAGGAUAUGGCUACUUUGAUAUGCUGUUGAUAGGAGUGCAUAAAAAUGAAAAAUACACUUGUUCUUGAUACAGUGAAUUCAGUUUUCAGAAUUUACCUCCAGAGGUAUAAGAAUACAAGUUUGCAAAGUAUACUUUGGUAUUCAAUAUAUGUUGCAUCCACUCUAUCUAUUCAUAGGCUGUUUAAAUAAACUUCAGCAUUUCUGUGUGUGUGUAAAAUUAAAAAGCAAAGUAUGAAACAAUGUCUUUAUUGGGUAUUUAUGCUUGUAAAAAUGUAGACACAAUUCUACAAGACAAGAAAUCAGAUCUAGAACAGAAGGGAAGUUUCUUUUCAUUAUAUUUUUGUCAUUCAUUUUGAACUUUUGUUUUUAUCAUGUACAUGUAUUAAUUUGUAAAAAAACAGUAUUAAGUAUUUUUGAAAUACAACUUACACGCUGUAAAAUUUACCAAAGUGUCAGUUCAUCUUUUUUGCACUUUAUUGACAAAGUUGUGUACCUAUCCAUACAACCUAAUUUUAGAACAUAUUCAUCCCCCCCGAAGAAAUCUUAUACCAUGAGCAAAUUUUCCCCAUCACCCCUCACGCCUCUAGCUCUAGACAUCCAUUAUUCUUCUUUCUGUAAAGAGAUUUUUCUGUCCUAAAAUUUCUUAUAAAUGGUAUGAUACAACUUGUGGCCUUUUGUAACUGGCUUCCUUCACUUAAAUCAUGUUUUUUUUGGCUUGUUUUUUCUGUGUUUUUUGCCACAUCCCUAGUAUGAGGAAGUUCUCGGGCCAUGGACUGAACCCGUGCUGUAACAGCAACCCAAGUUACUGCAGUGACAGUGCCAAAUCCUUAAUCUGCUGCAUCACAAAAGAACUCUACUUAAUUUUUUUUUUUGCUUUUUUUCUGGAAGUUCCCAGACUAGGGGUCGAAUUGGACCUAUAGCUGCUGGCCUACGGCACAGCCACAGCAACAUGGGCUCUGAGCCACUUGUGUGACUUAUACCAUAGCUCGUGGCAAAGCCAGAUCCUUAACCCACUGAUUGGGCCAGGGAUCGAAACUGCAUCCUCAUGGAUUACGAGGGGGAUUCAUUUCCACUGAGCCAUGUCGGGAACUCCUAAAUAAUGUUUUUGAAGUUUAUUUAUGUUGUUGUAUACCCUUCAUUACUUUUUGAAUUAAAAAAAUUAAAGUGAAAAUAGCAACUUCAAAAUUACUUAUUGUGUUUAUAUUAUGAAAUGGUUGUGAAAUAGAAAAUUACAGAGAAAUUAUUUUUCGUCAAUAAUUACCAUUUCUUGGGAGUUCGCGUUGCGGCUCAGUGGUUAACGAAUCCAACUAGGAACCAUGAGGUUGCGGGUUUGAUCCCUGGCCUCGUUCAGUGGGUUAAAGAUCCAGCAUUGCCGUGAGCUGUGGUGUAGGUUUCAGACGUGGCUUGGAUCUGGCAUUGCUGUGGCAGUGGCAUAGACUGACAGCUACAGCUCCAAUUCGACCCCUAGCCUGGAAACCUCCGUAU
rnacentral:lncRNA from 1 species